GACGAACGCUGGCGGCGUGCCUAAUACAUGCAAGUAGAACGCUGAAGAGAGGAGCUUGCUCUUCUUGGAUGAGUUGCGAACGGGUGAGUAACGCGUAGGUAACCUGCCUGGUAGCGGGGGAUAACUAUUGGAAACGAUAGCUAAUACCGCAUAAAAUGGAUUAUCGCAUGAUAAUCCAUUGAAAGGUGCAAAUGCAUCACUACCAGAUGGACCUGCGUUGUAUUAGCUAGUUGGUGGGGUAACGGCUCACCAAGGCGACGAUACAUAGCCGACCUGAGAGGGUGAUCGGCCACACUGGGAAGGAGACAAGGGCCAGACGUCUAAGGGAGGGAGCAGGAGGGAAUCCUCGGGAAAGGAACGAAGGCUGAACGAGGAAAGGCGGGUGAGUGAAGAAGGGUGUCGGAUCGGAAAGCUCUGUUGUAAGAGAAGAACGAGUGUGAGAGUGGAAAGUUCACACUGUGACGGUAUCUGACCAGAAAGGGACGGCUAACUACGUG
rnacentral:rRNA from 1 species